AGAGUUUGAUCCUGGCUCAGGACGAACGCUGGCGGCGUGCUUAACACAUGCAAGUCGAACGAUGAAGCCCCUUCGGGUGGAUUAGUGGCGAACGGGUGAGUAACACGUGGGCAACCUGCCCCCUACUCUGGGAUAACUCCGGGAAACCGGGGCUAAUACCGGAUAUGACCUCCUGCCGCAUGGCGGGUGGUGGAAAGUUU
rnacentral:rRNA from 1 species